GUAGGGGGCUAGCGUUGUCCGGAAUCAUUGGGCGUAAAGCGCGCGUAGGCGGCCCGGUAAGUCCGCUGUAAAAGUCAAAGGCUCAACCUUUGAAUGCCGGUGGAUACUGUCGGGCUAGAGUCCGGAAGAGGCGAGUGGAAUUCCUGGUGUAGCGGUGGAAUGCGCAGAUAUCAGGAGGAACACCAACGGCGAAGGCAGCUCGCUAGGACGGUACUGACGCUGAGGCGCGAAAGCGUGGGGAGCGAACAGGAUUAGAUACCCUGGUAGUCCACGCCGUAAACGAUGGGCACUAGGUGUGGGAGGUGUCGACUCCUCCCGUGCCGGCGCUAACGCAUUAAGUGCCCCGCCUGGGGAGUACGGCCGCAAGGCUAAA
rnacentral:rRNA from 1 species